rnacentral:rRNA from 1 species
AACCAGACUCCUACGGGAGGCAGCAGCGGGGGAUAUUGCACAAUGGGGGAAACCCUGAUGCAGCGACGCCGCGUGGGUGAAGAAGUAUUUCGGUAUGUAAAGCCCUAUCAGCAGGGAAGAAAGAAGACGGUACCUGACUAAGAAGCCCCGGCUAACUACGUGCCAGCAGCCGCGGUAAUACGUAGGGGGCGAGCGUUAUCCGGAUUCACUGGGUGUAAAGGGAGCGUAGACGGCCGUGCAAGCCAGGAGUGAAAGCCCGGGGCCCAACCCCGGGACUGCUCUUGGAACUGCGUGGCUGGAGUACAGGAGGGGCAGGCGGAAUUCCUGGUGUAGCGGUGAAAUGCGUAGAUAUCAGGAGGAACACCGGUGGCGAAGGCGGCCUGCUGGACUGCAACUGACGUUGAGGCCCGAAAGCGUGGGGAGCAAACAGGAUUAGAUACCCGAGUAAU